CACUAGUUGUGACUAAACCAUAGAAUGAACUGACACUGACAGUCGAGUCGCGUAGUUGGGUUGGGUAUGUGUGUGUGUAUGUGAAAUAAACAUUACUAUUUGUGCUUAAAUUUCAAAAACUUCCAGGAAUUAAUAAUAUGAAUGAUUUCGUCAAGCGAUAAUAAAUCUGGCGAAACCGGCGACCGA